rfam:Brugia malayi, FR3, WGS project CAPY01000000 data, contig: ctg1497099
GAGACAGGUUAGUUUUACCCUACUGUGAUAUGUUGUUGCGAUAGUAAUCCUGCUCAGUACGAGAGGAACCGCAGGUUCAGACAUUUGGUUCAUGUGCUUGGCCGAUCGGCCAAUGGUGCGAAGCUACCAUCUGAGGGAUUAUGACUGAACGCCUCUAAGUCAGAAUCCCACCUAGACAAGGCAACGAUAAAUUUGCUCCCUGAUGUCGGGAGGCACUAUUAUGUAAUUAUGAACAUAUUCAUACUAUUACAGCUAAUGCCCCAUUAUAUGGCCUUGCUAUUUAAUCGAAUGGUUAAAUGGUUGCCAAAACCGGAUUACUCUGGUACAAUGUCGGGGCGCAAGAUCACUUGCAGACGACUUGAUUACUGGUCAAGGUGUUGUAAGCAGUAGAGCAGCCUCCAUACUGCGAUCUGUUGAGACUUAUCCUUUGAUUGGACGAUUUGU